GGCGUGAUCACACGGCAGCGCAAAAUUGGUAUGAUAUAGAGACUAGCAUUGCCCUGUGCAAGGAUAACACGCAAAUUCGUGAAGCAUUCCAUAUGUUU
rfam:Mustela putorius furo unplaced genomic scaffold scaffold00051, whole genome shotgun sequence.